AGGAUUUGGACCUAUUUGGCACGAUUAGCAAGUUUGGACAUCCAAAAAUACGUUUUCAGAGUUGAUGUACCUAUUUGGCACAGCGUGACAAGUUCGAGGGCCACCGGUGCAUUUCACUCUAUUGAUAAUUGAUGGACUAUAUUAGUGUCAGCUAUGUUUCAAUUUGCAAGCAACCGAAUUGUCCUUUAACGCUGUGCGCGUGACAUGCUUAGAGGCUUUUCUUAAUGCACAUUGUCUCUAAAAUGCUUAAACUUAACAUUGGUGAACGGAGUUUGAUUGCUUCAACGUGAGUUAUUCACAGGAAAGAACCGACAUGAUAAAUUUCUGAUAAUCUCGAUGCUCUUUGAGAAGACACACUCCCCACUUGCCAAAAUUAUGCUGGCAUGUCGGUAAAUGGAUAGAAACUUGCAUUUGCCCGGUGAAAAGAAAAAACAUUAUUGUCAAAUUAUUACUACCAAGCUUUAUUAUUGUUACAAAUGUGACAUUCGAAAGCAAACAGUAGAUACGUAAGGCCAUUCCAAUAAGGAGUUUCACAUGGUUCCAUCCCAAUUAAAUGAGGUGCUACAUAAGUUAAACUGUUGACGUAAGAUGGGAGGAGUUUUAACUUGAUGCUCACCGUUUCCAACAUGUUGGAAACUGUGUGAAACUCUCAUUGAGUGUUUGUGUUUCAUCUCACAUAUUUCAACUUUCACUUAUCACUUAGAUACAAAUUUAAAUGGGAUGCUAAUAUAUGAAACCGUGAAAUGGAACUUUGGAUUGGAGGUCUAGUUUUAUUCGCCAUUUCAACAAUUAAAAGAUGGCAGACCAGAAGUUGGGUUUCCAAAAAGAAUUGUAGCUUAAAUAUGUACCCACUCACACGGUAGGUAGGUUGUUGUUCUGUAAAGCUGCCAUUUUUGGGGGAAGUGAUGCAGUGUACAAGUAAAAUGGCAAUGAUUUAGCUGAGUUGGCAUACAGACUUAAUAAAAAGAGAAUUCGGAUUCGUAUGAGUUAUCAACAUUUUUUAACCUAUUUUAAUAUUUUAAGAGAAUAUAUUCAACAUUUAUAAAAUUUAGAUCAACAAUAUAAAAAAUUGUGCUAUCUUCUUCUCCAACGACGGUAAGGCGCCAGACGAGGCAGAAAAGGCAUGGCAGAGGCGGUGCGCGGCAGCACAGGUGGUGGGGUAGCAGAGAAGGUAGACAACGUGGUUGUAUCGCUGUCGGGAUAGAUCCCUAAUACCCGCAAAGGAAGGAAGAAGACGGACUCCUAUUAGGAUUUUUCUAUAAUUCUACUAGGACUUAUACCACGUAAUCCGUCUAUGACUCCUCCUUGUAACCGACUAGUUAUCCCGCCAAUUGGAGUAUAUAAAGGAGGGCAGGGGUACCUAGAUCAACAAAGACAACAGAUGGCAAAUCCUCAUACCUCAACACCCAAGCGCAGGGCGCAAUAUACAACACCCCAAACAUGACGUAGAGUAUUACGCUACUCUGGCGGUCCGAACCUAUCUAAAUCGCAUGUCCUCGCUUUUACCUUCAAGUUCUAGGUCCGGCGAUCCCCC
rnacentral:lncRNA from 1 species